UGUUCUCUUAGCAAGAAUGUGAAAGGUCUUGCACUUCUUGCUCCUGUCUGAAAUCUAACUGUCCUGCAGUAUUUAGUCAUGCUUCUCUCCCUGCCCCCUGCCCAAGGAAUGUCUGCACUGCUCAUAUGACUGAGGACAGAUGCUCUGUUCUGGACCCAACCCCUUGUUUCUAGCUCCUCUGAUCUACUGACCAGACUGCUUAAAUUGAAGGAUCCAUUUUAGUCAAGAUGAGAUAGCUGAGAGCAUUGCCAAUAUGGAAAAGAAUCUCAUUGUCACGCAGGAAGGAUGGAGAGACCUUGGAGACUGUGGCAGAAGCAGUAUGAGAUAUUGUAACUCACGGAGGCUGUUCUGACCUGGAACAAGGCAUCCUAAUUGGCACUGCUCUUCGGCACAUCUUCAGAGCUUUGUAUUUAGCCCCCAGACCUCAAGUGCAGCAACCAAGGAUAACAGUGGCAAGCAAAGACAUCCUUGAUGUGUUUGCAGAAUGCUUACGUGCAGGCACUAUCGAAUAAAUCUAUAAAGAAAGAUGUUUUUUGUUCAGUAAAAUGAAGUGAACUCUUGCUGAGAUCCCACAGAGAUGGGUCGUGGUUCCCACUG
rnacentral:lncRNA from 1 species